UCCGAUUUAACAUCGGCAGUCUUCUUAGAGUCCCCAACUUAAUGAUGGUAACUAAGAACAGGGGUUGCGCUCGUUAUUGGACUUAACCAAACAUCUUACGACACGAGCUGACGACAGCCAUGCAGCACCUAUCCUGGUGUCCCCGAAAGGAAAACCACAUCUCUGUGGCGGUCACCAAAUGUUAAGGGUAGGUAAGGUUCUGCGCGUUGCUUCGAAUUAAACCACAUACUCCACCGCUUGUGCGGGCCCCCGUCAAUUCCUUUGAGUUUCGGCCUUGCGACUGUACUCCCCAGGCGGGAUACUUAACGCGUUAGCUGUGGCACUCAGGAGGUUAACUUCCCAAACGCCUAGUAUCCAUCGUUUACAGCGUGGACUAC
rnacentral:misc_RNA from 1 species